rnacentral:misc_RNA from 1 species
CUGGUAUUAUGGUCAGCAUUUUUCUGGUCUAAUAUUAGCCCAGACAUUGGGAUUGCAGGAGAUGAAUGAGGCAUGGACGUUGCAGGUGGAGUAAUAGGUGAUAUAUUGGUAGAAGGAUUUACACAUUCAGCCUGAAGUUCCAACUUUGCUCCAUCCACUUUAGGCUUUUUGCUCACCACAUUAUCUUCUUGGGAUAUCUCAUAUUUCCCCUGAAAUCGCAAAGUGGGAGAAUUGGUAGUCAAAACGCUUCUGAGAAGGUUG